rnacentral:lncRNA from 1 species
CUUCUUUCCAAAAUAAAAAUCUAAGCCCAAAGUUUCCUUAGAUGUUGUACUAAUCUAAGGCAGAAACUUGAACAGAGAAAAUUUAAUGUAAAGAAUUUUAGGUUAUAGAAAGGGUUGUUAAUUAUUAAAAGCAGUAAAAGAGAACUCUAAAGGGCAAAGAGACUUUAGCUGCAGAAAGUAGUAGUUCUUAUCCCUGGACUAAGGAAAGAGUGAACAGGAAGGAACUUAGAUUCCCAGAACCCUGCAAGGUUGGAGUCCGACCUCUGAGGCGAGUUUCUGGUUUUCACAGGAACAUGCUGCUUGCAGUAUUAGUGGCAAGGAAGCUGGCUGAGGGUACCUGCCAUCACACAGCGCAAGGCGGCCUGCCACUGCUGUAAGCUGUGGCUGGGACGACUGCAUGCUCAUCUGCUUGCCAUUGUGUGGAAAAGCAAAAAGCUGUGACAGAAGGGAAAGGCCCCUUUCUUAUCCAGGCGUUUGUUAUCCCUCCUGUACUCCUUAUUGUCAAAACCUAACAUUGAGCUGCUGGCCAAGGAGAAAUAUAGCCUGAAAAUUCAGCUCCAAAACAGGAUAAAGAAGCUGGGUUUGGAUCUGGAAGACAAUAAAUUAAUAACUGGUAAGGAUGAAAAGUAAGAUUUUUUAUUCCAAGGUUGGAAAAUAGCCCAAAACAUUAUCACAUAAAAAGAAAAUAGAUUGACAAAAAGAGGCAUUCACAUAAAAAACUAAAAGUUUUCAUGAACACAUUUCUUGGAGUAGAGCUAUAAAAUUCAGUCUGCCUCCAGGGGAUUGGAUGAACAAGACAAGGUGUUAUAAAGCCCAUUGUGGGAAAAUAUACAGGAGGUUUUUCAUCUGAACAAAUGCCCAGCACAGAGUUAAUACAGCUGAGAAAUUCAACCUUUACAAAAUCGAGUGAAAAUAAAAAACCAACCAUGAAAGGAUAGGUCAUUCUUUAGGGAGCUUCCUUAAUUAUUACUUUCUAAAGGGUAGAAAUAAACAUUUACUAUGCAAAAUAGC